rnacentral:piRNA from 1 species
UGUUUCAGAGAGAAACAGGAA